rnacentral:rRNA from 1 species
UACGUAGGGUGCAAGCGUUGUCCGGAAUUAUUGGGCGUAAAGAGCUCGUAGGCGGUCUGUCGCGUCGGCUGUGAAAACCCGGAGCUCAACUCCGGGCCUGCAGUCGAUACGGGCAAACUGGAGUACUGCAGGGGAGACUGGAAUUCCUGGUGUAGCGGUGAAAUGCGCAGAUAUCAGGAGGAACACCGGUGGCGAAGGCGGCAACCUGGUCCUUGACUGACGCUGGAGGCGACGGAAAGCGUGGGGAGCAAAC